rnacentral:pre_miRNA from 1 species
AACCUACUCCCUCCGUUCGGAAUUACUUGUCUCGGAAAUGGAUGUAUCUAGAAUUAAAAUACGUCUAGAUACAUCCAUUUCUGCGACAAAUAAUUCCGAACGGAGGGAGUAGUAC